GACAGAGGAUGCAAGCAUUAUCCGGAAUGAUUGCGUGUAAAGCGUCUGUAGGUGGCUUUUCAAGUCCGCCGUCAAAUCCCAGGGCUCAACCCUGGACAGGCAGUGGAAACUACCAAGCUGGAGUACAGUAGGGGCAGAGGGAAUUUCCGGUGGAGCGGUGAAAUGCAUUGAGAUCGGAAAGAACACCAAUGGCGAAAGCACUCUGCUGGGCUGACACUGACACUGAGAAACGAAAGCUAGGGGAGCAAAUGGG
rnacentral:rRNA from 1 species